rnacentral:rRNA from 1 species
CCAAUAGCGUAUAUUAAAGUUGUUGCAGUUAAAAAGCUCGUAGUUGAAUUUCGAGACCGGUUUACUGGUCGUGCUUUUGUACGUACUGGUAUUAUUGGUUUCUCCUUUCUGACGAACUAUAAUGCCAUUAAUUUGGUGUUUUAGGGAAUCAGGACUGUUACUUUGAAAAAAUUAGAGUGUUUAAAGCAGGCUCACGCUUGAAUACAUUAGCAUGGAAUAACGGAAUAGGACGUUUGAUUCUAUUUUGUUGGUUUCUAGGAUCGACGUAAUGAUUAAUAGGGAUAGUUGGGGGCAUUAGUAUUCAAUUGUCAGAGGUGAAAUUCUUGGAUUUAUUGAAGACUAACUACUGCGAAAGCAUUUGCCAAGGAUGUUUUCAUUAAUCAAGAACGAAAGUUAGGGGAUCGAAGACGAUCAGAUACCGUCGUAGUCUUAACCAUAAACUAUGCCGACUAGGGAUCGGAUGAUGUUAAUUUUUUAAUGACUCAUUCGGCGCCUUAC